rnacentral:rRNA from 1 species
UAGGGAAUCUUCGGCAAUGGACGAAAGUCUGACCGAGCAACGCCGCGUGAGUGAAGAAGGUUUUCGGAUCGUAAAACUCUGUUGUUAGAGAAGAACAAGGACGUUAGUAACUGAACGUCCCCUGACGGUAUCUAACCAGAAAGCCACGGCUAACUACGUGCCAGCAGCCGCGGUAAUACGUAGGUGGCAAGCGUUGUCCGGAUUUAUUGGGCGUAAAGCGAGCGCAGGCGGUUUCUUAAGUCUGAUGUGAAAGCCCCCGGCUCAACCGGGGAGGGUCAUUGGAAACAGGGAGACUUGAGUGCAGAAGAGGGGAGUGGAAUUCCAUGUGUAGCGGUGAAAUGCGUAGAUAUAUGGAGGAACACCAGUGGCGAAGGCGGCUCUCUGGUCUGUAACAGACACUGAGGCUAGAAAGCGUGGGGAGCAAACAGG